AACACAGUCUCACUCUCUACUCGUCAAAUGUCUGACGCAUGGUCAAGUGAUCUGGCGUCACUUUUUUGACGCACUGGGUAUACCUUUGGCGUUAUUUUUCAACGUGCAGGUUAGUCCGAUAGACUUCUAUAGAACUCAGCAGCGUUUAAAUUUGACGUCUUGGUUCAGCACACCGCAACUACACUGAAUAAAUAAAAAUAAAUAAUAGGCUACAAAAAAAAUUAUAUAUGACAGAGAUCGUUUUUAUCUGGCCCUCCAACUUGUUUUUAAGGGUUUAAAUAUUCUCGCAAUCUGACAUCAAAGUGAUCUCUGUGCCAAAGCUUAGCGCGUUCAUCAGUGGUGAGUUUAACAACACUCAACUGCAGGUAAAACAGCACUCAGCGGUGAGUUUGACCAAAGCAACGCUCAACUGCAGGGAAAACGACAUAAAAAGGUGAGUUUAACAACGCUCCAAGGCGCGUGCAAGUAAGCAGUUUAACCGUUUUCUUACACACCAUUCUCGCUUAUCGCUUAUUCAUAGUUCAUCAUCUCUAUGAAAUCACGUUCAAGAAGUCUCAUUCAGCACACAUCGCGAUACUUGCCAUCAGUUUCCAUGUGCCACAGGGUCGCUGAAAAGAUGUAAAGGAAGCAGUCAUCCCUGUGGUGUUUGUGGAGAGGUUUUCCUUCAGAAAUGGAGAAGACAGAAAGCUGCGGAGGCAGACAUUUGCAGCAGCCAAGUGUUCGAGUGAGCAUGAUGACCACAAGUGUGUGUCGAACUUUUCAUGACCUGAUGACAGUGGUUCCCAAUCCUGAUCCUGGAGAACCCCAGCACUGCACGGUUUUGGCGUCUCUCUUAUCUCACAAACACACUUUUGAGGUCUUGGAGUCUUCACUGAUGAGCUGAUGAGUUGAAUCAGGAUUGUUUGCAGAUAAUGCUGUUCAAGCUCAACAGCUCUUUUAAGAGCUAACCCUCACAAACCUUCCUAAAAACUAAAAGAGCUAUUACUGAGUCUCAGCGAAUUUUGCCAUGAUCAGCUCUUCCCAGAAGAGAAGGAAGACCAAGGAAAUGAUUUGCUCAUGAGGAAUGAAGACGGCCAUCUUGAGCCCAAACAAAGACUGAAGUCCUCUGAUGAUCUCAUCAGCCAAAUGGGGGGUUUUGACCAAGUGAUGCUCUUGAAAGGACUGAAAGAAGAGGAUGUGGUAAAUUGUCUUCAGAGAAAAACCUUCUCAAAAGGUCUUAAAACAGCUUGAAGAAUGGUCUGGGAUCUUAGGACUGAGAGAUCCUCUGGCUGAGAAAAGGCUACACCACACCAGUGCUGGAUAUCAACCACAAACUGUUUCCAGACACGAGAGAAGAAGAACACGAUGGGGAGAUGAAACCAGUUUAGAUGUGAUGAUGGGAAUCAUUAUUUUCUGGAACAGUAUCACAUGUCUUAAAUGUAUCACAUGAUCUGUAUCACAGUUGACUGGAUGGAUUAUUUUUACUUUUAAGGACAUUUCAUCACUCAUCUGUGUGAACUGAUUAAUUUAUGAUAUUAAUGAAUUUUUGAUCCUUUAUUAUUUUCCUUGAACUGUGUUUGUCUUGAAGCUACUUUAUCAACUUCAUAGUCUAUGCUUCAAUAAAAUUAAUAUGGUGAA